rnacentral:rRNA from 2 species
GGGUUGUGAGGUUAAGCGACUAAGCGUACACGGUGGAUGCCUAGGCAAUCAGAGGCGAUGAAGGACGUGCUAAUCUGCGAUAAGCGUCGGUAAGGUGAUAUGAACCGUGAUAACCGACGAUUUCCGAAUGGGGAAACCCAGUGCAAUUCGUUGCACUAUCGUUUGAUGAAUACAUAGUCAAACGAAGCGAACCGGGGGAACUGAAACAUCUCAGUACCCCGAGGAAAAGAAAUCAACCGAGAUUCCCCUAGUAGCGGCGAGCGAACGGGGAGCAGCCCAGAGUCUUAAUCAACAUUAGCAUCAGGAGAACGGUCUGGAAAGGCCGGCAGUAAAGGGUGAUAGCCCCGUAUCCGAAGGUGUUAGUGUUGUGAACUCGACGAGUAGGGCGGGACACGUGUUAUCCUGUCUGAAUAUGGGGGGACCAUCCUCCAAGGCUAAAUACUCCUGAUUGACCGAUAGUGAACCAGUACCGUGAGGGAAAGGCGAAAAGAACCCCGGCGAGGGGAGUGAAAUAGAACCUGAAACCGUGUACGUACAAGCAGUGGGAGCCCCACCACCAAAGCAUUUUCUGGUGUUGAGGACAACUUUGAAGUGACAUUCAACACGCGUUGGCGGAGCGUUUUUUGCGACGCCCAACACACAAAACAAGCAGUGAAUGUGCUUUGGGGUGGGGUGACUGCGUACCUUUUGUAUAAUGGGUCAGCGACUUAUAUUCUGUAGCAAGGUUAACCGUAUAGGGGAGCCGUAGGGAAACCGAGUCUUAACUGGGCGAAUAAGUUGCAGGGUAUAGACCCGAAACCCGGUGAUCUAGCCAUGGGCAGGUUGAAGGUUGGGUAACACUAACUGGAGGACCGAACCGACUAAUGUUGAAAAAUUAGCGGAUGACUUGUGGCUGGGGGUGAAAGGCCAAUCAAACCGGGAGAUAGCUGGUUCUCCCCGAAAGCUAUUUAGGUAGCGCCUCGUGAACUCAUCUUCGGGGGUAGAGCACUGUUUCGACUAGGGGGUCAUCCCGACUUACCAACUCGAUGCAAACUACGAAUACCGAAGAAUGUUAUCACGGGAGACACACGGCGGGUGCUAACGUUCGUCGUGAAGAGGGAAACAACCCAGACCGCCAGCUAAGGUCCCAAAGUCAUAGUUAAGUGGGAAACGAAGUGGGAAGGCUCAGACAGCCAGGAUGUUGGCUUAGAAGCAGCCAUCAUUUAAAGAAAGCGUAAUAGCUCACUGGUCGAGUCGGCCUGCGCGGAAGAUGUAACGGGGCUAAACUAUGCACCGAAGCUGCGGCAGCGAUAUGUAAAUAUUGUUGGGUAGGGGAGCGUUCUGUAAGCCUGUGAAGGUGUACUGUGAGGUAUGCUGGAGGUAUCAGAAGUGCGAAUGCUGACAUAAGUAACGAUAAUGCGGGUGAAAAACCCGCACGCCGGAAGACCAAGGGUUCCUGUCCAACGUUAAUCGGGGCAGGGUGAGUCGACCCCUAAGGCGAGGCAGAAAUGCGUAGUCGAUGGGAAACGGGUUAAUAUUCCCGUACUGGUGAUAAUUGCGAUGGGGGGACGGAGAAGGCUAGGCUAUCCGGGCGACGGUUGUCCCGGUUUAAGGAUGUAGGCAGGUGAAUUAGGCAAAUCCGGUUCACUAUAUGCUGAGGUCCGACGACGAGUCACUACGGUGAUGAAGUAGCUCAUGCCCCGCUUCCAGGAAAAGCCUCUAAGCUCUAGAUUAUCAUUAAUCGUACCCCAAACCGACACAGGUGGUCAGGUAGAGAAUACUCAGGCGCUUGAGAGAACUCGGGUGAAGGAACUAGGCAAAAUGGUGCCGUAACUUCGGGAGAAGGCACGCUGGCGCUAGGUGAAGUCCCUCGCGGAUGGAGCUGAAGCCAGUCGCAGAUACCAGCUGGCUGCAACUGUUUAUUAAAAACACAGCACUGUGCAAACACGAAAGUGGACGUAUACGGUGUGACGCCUGCCCGGUGCUGGAAGGUUAAUUGAUGGGGUUAUCCGUAAGGAGAAGCUCUUGAUCGAAGCCCCAGUAAACGGCGGCCGUAACUAUAACGGUCCUAAGGUAGCGAAAUUCCUUGUCGGGUAAGUUCCGACCUGCACGAAUGGCGUAAUGAUGGCCAGGCUGUCUCCACCCGAGACUCAGUGAAAUUGAACUCGCUGUGAAGAUGCAGUGUACCCGCGGCAAGACGGAAAGACCCCGUGAACCUUUACUAUAGCUUGACACUGAACAUUGAGCCUUGAUGUGUAGGAUAGGUGGGAGGCUUUGAAGUGUGGACGCCAGUCUGCAUGGAGCCAACCUUGAAAUACCACCCUUUAAUGUUUGAUGUUCUAACGUAGCCCCGUUAUCCGGGGUGCGGACAGUGUCUGGUGGGUAGUUUGACUGGGGCGGUCUCCUCCCAAAGAGUAACGGAGGAGCACGAAGGUUGGCUAAGCAUGGUCGGACAUCAUGCGGUUAGUGCAAAGGCAUAAGCCAGCUUGACUGCGAGAGUGACGGCUCGAGCAGGUACGAAAGUAGGUCUUAGUGAUCCGGUGGUUCUGAAUGGAAGGGCCAUCGCUCAACGGAUAAAAGGUACUCCGGGGAUAACAGGCUGAUACCGCCCAAGAGUUCAUAUCGACGGCGGUGUUUGGCACCUCGAUGUCGGCUCAUCACAUCCUGGGGCUGAAGUAGGUCCCAAGGGUACGGCUGUUCGCCGUUUAAAGUGGUACGCGAGCUGGGUUUAGAACGUCGUGAGACAGUUCGGUCCCUAUCUGCCGUGGGCGUUGGAAGAUUGAAAGGGGCUGCUCCUAGUACGAGAGGACCGGAGUGGACGCACCACUGGUGUUCGGGUUGUCAUGCCAAUGGCAUUGCCCGGUAGCUAAGUGCGGAAGAGAUAACCGCUGAAAGCAUCUAAGCGGGAAACUUGCCUUGAGAUGAGUCUUCCCUGACCCUUAAAGGGUCCUAAAGGAACGUUUAAGACUAAGACGUUGAUAGGUUGGGUGUGUAAGCGUAGCGAUACGUUGAGCUAACCAAUACUAAUGAACCGUGAGGCUUAACCUGACAACACCGAAGGUGUUUUAG